GUUCCAAAGCUGCAGAUACCACCGAAGCAACCCGCACAAAGAAACUGGCAAAUAUGUUUGCUUGUGGGAGGAGGAGCCAGAGAACAGAUAGCUCAGAGGGUGGGUGUCGGGUUAGCCUAUAAGGGUGGAGAAAGGAGGUCCUUACAGACUUUGGUAUGGUUUUGCUGUUAUCUUCCUGUCUGCCUGACUCUGCAGUUGGCACUAUUCCCAGCAGCUUCCUGUUUAGUUUAGUUUCAUUUCUCGCAGACUGGCUAGGAGGGUGUUGUUUCUGAAGCCAUGGCAGAGGCAGAGGAAGAAUUCAGAGCAGCUGCUGCCCUGGAAGAUGAGCUCACCUGCCCUAUCUGUCUGUGCUUCUACAGCAACCCUGUCUCCCUGAGCUGCCAGCACAGCUUCUGCAAGGAGUGUAUCCAGAAAGCACUGGCUGCCCAGCAGCAAGCCAAGGCCACCUACUCCUGCCCUAUGUGCAAGGUCCAGCUGGGGCCCUUUCUGGAGCUGCAUAAGAACUUCCAGCUCUGCAGCAUAGUGGAGACGUUCCAGACGGCUUCUUCAAAGGGAAAGAAGGGCAAGGAGAAGGCCUCUCCGCAAGGGAAGGAGACAAUCCCCUGUGAUUUCUGCCUGGAGCAGCCUCACACAGCAGUGAAAACCUGUCUGACCUGUGAGGCAUCUCUGUGUCAGGCCCACCUGAGCAAACACAAUGCCAAGGCUGCACAGAAGGAUCAUGUCCUGGUAGACCCCAGUGACAACAGCUCCCUGCAGGAGAGGAAGUGUGGCAAGCAUGGCAAGCUGCUAGAGUGUUACUGUGAAGAUGACCAGGUCUUCGUCUGCAUGAUGUGCUCUAUCGCAGGCUCCCACAAGGGCCACAGCGUCAUCUCCCUGAAGGAGGAGUAUGACAAGGAGCUGGUUGUUCUCUCUGACAGUGUGAAACUGAUGCAGGAAAACAAAAGUGCUAUGAAUAAAACCUUAGGGGAGCUUCAGAAGAGUGAGAAUCAGCUCCAGCUCAAUAAGAAAACUUUGAAUGCUCAGCUGUCAAACCUCUUCAAAGAGAUCAAGGCAGCGGUGGAUCAGAAGGAGAAGCAGAUCCUGGCUCACAUACAAUCCAGUGAGAAAAAGCAGCUGUCAGAGAUUGCCACACUGAAGAAGCAAACAGAAAAGAAGAGAGAUGAGGCUGAGAAGGGUCUUCAGGACCUGCAGAUGCUGAGAGCGCAAACAGACCCUUUCCACUUCCUCAGAGAAUUUAAACUGGCACAAGACAGGAUUAAUAAUCAGAAUUUCAGGACUGACAGCAUGGAAGUAUUACCACUGCAGCUGGAUCAGGCAACAAUUGCUGAUGUUAGACGCUGGACACAGCAGUAUAUCUCAAACCUAGAUUCACAAAUGCAAGAAGUGCACAGUAAGUAAACUACCCAAACGAGUAACAGAACAUUACUGGUCUGUAGUGGAAAAUGGCCACCUUUUAUCAAGGACUGUGCAAUAGCUCCCUGAUUUAUUCAACUGAGCAUUGCUUGUGUGCUGCAAAUUUUGAUCCUUCUCCAUAGAGGCCAGAGUGUGGAUGUCUGCCAUCUGCCAUGGCGCCCUGUCCCCUCAGCCCCUCCCCGCAACCAGUUUCCAUCUGCCCCAGCAUUCCAAACCUCACCCUCUGUCAGACCUUUAGGGACCACCCCAUGUGUUUGCCCAGUGGACCCAUAUUUUCAAAUCUGCCUCUGAUAAUGGGAUCAAGACCCCACAGCAACACAUUCCAAAUGACUGUUUAUAUUGUGAAUACACUGCCAGCCUUCUAAGACAUUCUCUCAACCCUUGCAGGUCAGUUCAUUAACCAAACACAGAGGAACAGAGCAGCUCCAUUGAUAUACAGAGUACCUCCAUACUCCAGAGAUGAUUUACUUUAUCAAGGUAAUCAACACUCGCAUUUCUUCCAAAAUCAAGCAUCUGGUUUUUUUCAAACUACCCCAUUUCCAUGGAAAUAGACUGGGAACACAAGGCAGUGAAUGCAGAACAUACAACGAAAGGAAAGGAUGUGGUGUCUGAAAUAGUGGUUUCCAGCAUGGUGCAUUAUUCCCAGAAGUAAUAAAGAGACAUGAAAAAAGUUGGGGAAACUGAGACCAAAGAGAUUAAAUUCAACAUUU